rnacentral:rRNA from 1 species
UGAGCAAUCUGCCCUUCUCAUCGGAAUAAGCGUGGGAAACCGCGUCUAAUGCCGAAUACGACCUCCUUUCGCAUGAUCGGAGGUGGAAAGCUCCGGCGGAGAAGGAUGAGCUCGCGGCCUAUCAGCUAGUUGGUGUGGGUAAUGGCCCACAAGGCGACGACGGGUAGCCGGCCUGAGAGGGUGACCGGCCACACUGGGACUGAGACACGGCCCAGACUCCGUACGGGAGCAG